AUACGGAGGAUGCGAGCGUUAUCCGGAUUUAUUGGGUUUAAAGGGUGCGUAGGCGGAAAGUUAAGUCAGCGGUGAAACGCAGGUGCUCAACACCUGACCUGCCGUUGAGACUGGUUUUCUAGAAUGCGGAUGCUGUGGGAGGAAUGUGUGGUGUAGCGGUGAAAUGCAUAGAUAUCACACAGAACACCGAUUGCGAAGGCAUCUCACAAAUCCGCGAUUGACGCUGAGGCACGAAGGUGCGGGGAUCGAACAGGAUUAGAUACCCUGGUAGUCCGCACAGUAAACGAUGAUAACUCGCUGUCGGCGAUAGACAGUCGGUGGCCAAGCGAAAGCGAUAAGUUAUCCACCUGGGGAGUACGACCGCAAGGUUGAAACUCAAAUGAAUUGGCGGGG
rnacentral:rRNA from 1 species